rnacentral:rRNA from 1 species
UACGUAGGGCGCGAGCGUUGUCCGGAAUUAUUGGGCGUAAAGAGCUCGUAGGUGGCUUGUCGCGUCUGCCGUGAAAGCCCGUGGCUUAACUACGGGUCUGCGGUGGAUACGGGCAGGCUAGAGGCUGGUAGGGGCAAGCGGAAUUCCUGGUGUAGCGGUGAAAUGCGCAGAUAUCAGGAGGAACACCGGUGGCGAAGGCGGCUUGCUGGGCCAGUUCUGACGCUGAGGAGCGAAAGCCAGGGGAGCAAACGGG